GGCGCUCUCCGGAGCCGGGCAGCGUGCGCGCUCCCGUCGCCGGCGCGCUGAAGCGUGGGAAGGUGCCGCGGUGACCUGGCCCUGCGGCCGGGGCGCGUAGAGUUCUCAGGUUUGGCCUCAGGUAAAUUCUUCCAAGGUCUAGACCAAGAGUGAGGAGCAGACAAGCCCAACCGAUGUGAACACCAAGCCUGGUUGUCCAGUGUCAUCUUCGCUGGGAAUUAAGAAACAACUAAAAUAUCCUCCAAAGGGUGGUGGUCAAACCACGUGUGGCGCGUCUACACCCCGGAUGUGACUCAGCAGCGAUGAAAGAAGCCACUGACUCACAGGGCACCGGUGCUCUCGGGAUGAUGCUGGAUGGAAAGGCCACUCCCAGAGAUCACAUGCAUAAAGGAUGACUCCGUCUGUUUGGCAAAAUGACAAAAUCGUGGAGCCAGACAGAGACUAGUGCUGGUCACAUGAAUCCACGUGGGAUAAGAUGACACAGAGCCGUGAGCACACAGCACACCAGUGUCAGCAGCCUCUUGGUUUGGCCAUUGUCCUGUAAUUAGCCAAGGCUCUAAGCAGCAGUGAGCCUGAAGGAAAGUCCAGAAACACGCAGGUCUUGUUCAGAGCUCUCCGUGUGCAGCCAGACCCCACAGCAGUCAGCUGUAACUCCAACAAGAUCUAAGCAGGUGGGCAAGUGUUCACUGUCAAUGAGGAGUGGCUAACCCUGGGAGGGCAGUCCUCCAGGGUAACGAGGCCCCGAUGUCAAAGUAUCAGAACACAGAGGAUAAAAGAUACGGUUAAUACAGAGAACUGAGGCCUCUGGCCAACAAGCAGAAGAGGGUGGCAUCUUGGAAAUGGCCCCUCCAGCCACGGUUGAGCCUUCAGAUGAGAACCAUCUUGACUGCAAGCUCCUACGAGACCCUGAGGGAGAACCACCAGGCUAAGCCAUUCCCACAUUUCUGACUCGCAGACACCGAGAUACUAAAUGUUCAUCGUUUGAAGUCACUAGAUGUUGGGGUAAUUUGCCAGGCAGCAAUACGGCACUGGUACAGAUCUGGUCUGUGCAGCGUGAACAAGGCCAGGAUCGUGGGUCUGGCACCAGGCAAAGCUGUCAAGCUGGAUCCUAGCACUGCCAUUUACGGUACUCAGACCCUGAUACACAAGCUCUCCAGAGAAGAUUCCAGAGCCAAUUUCUAGUCAGUUCCAGAGGUUUCCAGAUGGAGGUGCUGGUGGGGCUGGAGGCCUGUGUGUCUGUGUCUGCUCUGCUACAAAGACAUUCACCUGGUUUGAAUUUUCUUAAAUGUUUAUUCUUGAGAGAGAGAGAGAGAGAGAGAGAGAGAGAGAACAAGCAGGAGAGGGGCAGAGAGAGAGGGAGACACAGAAUCC